CGGCCUCCCAAAGUGCUGGGAUUAUAGGCGUGAGCCACCGCGCCUGGCCUAAAAGCUUUUUAUUUCUAUGAAACAACUUUGAUUCUAAUACCAAAUAGUUACAUCUUGAAUGUGCUGUGUUAGCUUUAUUUGUAAAAUGACAGAUACAGUAAGACACAGACAGUUUGUAUUAAAGCCAUGUAAUACCUACAAAACAGGGCUUAAAAGUCAGUAUUUAGAAUUUUAAAUAGUUUUCAAUAUCCCCCACCCACACUUAAAUUACAUAUAUUAUCUCAUCAUUAUGAAAACUUCCUACUGACUUAGUUUGAAUCUGCAUUUUUUUUCUCUCUGAGACUGAUGUUUCCCCCAUCUUCUUCCCUUCCUCCCCAGUCUAUCUUCCAACUGUAACCAGAGUAAUCUUUCAAAAAAACAGAGCUGUAUGUGUUACUCUCCGCUUAAAAUCCAUCUAUACUUCCUUUCUGCUUUUAGAAGAAAGCUCAAACUCUUCAGCAUGACAUAAAAGAGUUUUCAUUUCCAUCCAUCCAUCCAUCCAUCCAUCCAUCCUACUAGAAAUUACUCCUUUUGAAAUAUAAAAGGGGCUGGAUAUGGUGG